GCCCUACAGAUACGUACUUUCUCACUAUGAGUAACUACAAGUUUAUGUUUGUGUGUGCUUUAGUGCUCGUUUUGGGUAUCAUGGUGGCCCAGACUCAGCAGGAAGGCAUCAGGUCAGGAGUGGACACAGGUUUCCAGGCAAAAUCUGACUUCGCAGGGAAGCGAAAAAGUGCCGAUAAACUACUUGGAAAAACGCUCGGCUUAAAGGUACCGCGGGAUCCAUUGGAGACACGAUAAGAGGAGUUUUUUCUAGGAUUAAGAAAAUAAUAAAAAUAUGAAAAUAAUCAAGAAAAAACUUGGAGAAAUUCUCGCUGACAACGAAUAUAUAUUUGCAUUAUAAAAUUUCCAGUAUUUCACUGA